CCAAAUCACACCCACCAGAUCACAUGACCCCCAAGAGGCCAAGAGCUCCCUCCCUCGCCUAUAAAUGAGAGGCAAAAGUCAUCAGACCCUUAGGCAACAAAGUGAGAGAAGAGACACGCAAAGGGCCAUGGACAGAGCAGGAGGACAUGCAACUGGCCUCAACCGCACAGGAAAGAGCUGUCGCCUCCGGUGGGUUAACUACCUCCACCCUGGCCUAAAGCGUGGGCGCAUGACUCCCCAUGAAGAACGCCUCAUCCUCGAGCUCCAUGCUCGGUGGGGAAACAGGUGGUCCAGGAUAGCACGGAAGCUGCCAGGGCGUACCGACAAUGAGAUCAAGAACUACUGGAGAACACAUAUGAGGAAGAAAGCACAGGAGAGGAAGAGGAACAUGUCACCCUCAUCAUCUUCAUCCUCAGUGACAUACCAAUCCAUUCAGCCACAGACGCCAUCGAUCAUGGGAAUUGGCGAGCAGGAGCUUCAUGGUGGCAGUAGCUGCAUCACAAGCAUAUUGAAGGGCACGCCUGCUGACAUGGAUGGAUACCUCAUGGAUCAGAUAUGGAUGGAGAUUGAGGCACCCUCUGGGGUCAACUUUCAUGACGGGAAGGAUAAUUCAUACAGCAGCCCCUCUGGCCCUCUGCUACCAUCACCGAUGUGGGAUUACUACAGCCCUGAGGCAGGCUGGAAGAUGGAUGAGAUAAAGAUGGCCCCACAAGUUAGCUACAGUAAAGGAAUUGGCCCCAGUUAUUGAAGCCAUAUAUAUUGUAUCAGAUUACUAAGUUACUUGCAACCUAGCAGAAGUGAAAUGCUUUUGUUGAAAGAACCAUUAGCAUGGAUCUAAAAAGUAUUUAUAUCUAUCUAGCAUUCCAAGUGGGCUCAUGUUUUAUGUAUCUACUAUGUAGCAUCUAGUGUGCAAGACAUGUAAUGCAAGGACACUUCCACUCUGUAUUCACAAUAAUCAGCUAUCUCCUGUAAGACUUUUCCAAUGCAAACAUGAUUAGCAGGU
rnacentral:rRNA from 1 species